UACGUAGGUGGCGAGCGUUGUCCGGAUUUACUGGGCGUAAAGGGAGCGUAGGCGGAUUUUUAAGUGAGAUGUGAAAUACUCGGGCUCAACUUGAGUGCUGCAUUUCAAACUGGAAGUCUAGAGUGCAGGAGAGGAGAAUGGAAUUCCUAGUGUGGCGGUGAAAUGCGUAGAGAUUAGGAAGAACACCAGUGGCGAAGGCGAUUCUCUGGACUGUAACUGACGCUGAGGCUCGAAAGCGUGGGGAGCAAACAGG
rnacentral:rRNA from 1 species